rnacentral:rRNA from 1 species
AAUGAACGCUGGCGGCGCGCCUAAUACAUGCAAGUCGAGCGAGAAGACGUAGCAAUACGUUUGUAAAGCGGCGAACGGGUGAGGAAUACAUGGGUAACCUACCCUCGAGUGGGGAAUAACUAGCCGAAAGGUUAGCUAAUACCGCGUACGCUUCUUGGACUUCGGUUCAGGGAGGAAAGCGAUACCGUGGGUAUCGCGCUCUUGGAUGGGCUCAUGUCCUAUCAGCUUGUUGGGAGGUACGGCUCACCAAGGCUUCGACGGGUAGCUGGUCUGAGAGGACGAUCAGCCACACUGGCACUGCGAC